UGCCAGCCGCCGCGGUAAUACGGAGGAUGCAGGCGUUAUCCGGAUUUAUUAGGUUUAAAGGGUGUCUAGGCUGCCACAUAAGUCAGAGGUGAAAGUCGGUUGCUCAACAAUCGAAUUGCCUUUGAAACUGUGUGGCUCGAAUAUAGAUGAGGUAGGCGGAAUGUGUAGUGUAGCGGUGAAAUGCAUAGAUAUUACACAGAACACCAAUUGCGAAGGCAGCUUACCAAACUAUUAUUGACGCUGAAGCACGAAAGCGUGGGUAGCGAACAGGAUUAGAUA
rnacentral:rRNA from 1 species